GAUUGAACGCUGGCGGCAUGCUUUACACAUGCAAGUCGAACGGCAGCGCGGGGCAACCUGGCGGCGAGUGGCGAACGGGUGAGUAAUACAUCGGAACGUACCCAGAAGUGGGGGAUAACGUAGCGAAAGUUACGCUAAUACCGCAUACGUUCUACGGAAGAAAGUGGGGGACCUUCGGGCCUCAUGCUUUUGGAGCGGCCGAUGUCUGAUUAGCUAGUUGGUGAGGUAAAGGCUCACCAAGGCGACGAUCAGUAGCUGGUCUGAGAGGACGACCAGCCACACUGGGACUGAGACACGGCCCAGACUCCUACGGGAGGCAGCAGUGGGGAAUUUUGGACAAUGGGCGCAAGCCUGAUCCAGCAAUGCCGCGUGAGUGAAGAAGGCCUUCGGGUUGUAAAGCUCUUUUGUCAGGGAAGAAACGGCUGAGGAUAAUACCUUCGGCUAAUGACGGUACCUGAAGAAUAAGCACCGGCUAACUACGUG
rnacentral:rRNA from 1 species